rnacentral:rRNA from 1 species
UACGGAGGAUGCGAGCGUUAUCCGGAUUUAUUGGGUUUAAAGGGUGCGUAGGCGGGAUGCCAAGUCAGCGGUAAAAAUUCGGGGCUCAACCCCGUCCGGCCGUUGAAACUGGGGGUCUUGAGUGGGCGAGAAGAAGGCGGAAUGCGUGGUGUAGCGGUGAAAUGCAUAGAUAUCACGCAGAACCCCGAUUGCGAAGGCAGCCUUCCGGCGCCCUACUGACGCUGAGGCACGAAAGUGCGGGUAUCGAACAGG